AUAUCAAUAAGCGGAGGAAAAGAAACCAACAGGGAUUGCCUCAGUAACGGCGAGUGAAGCGGCAACAGCUCAGAUUUGAAAGCCGGCAUCAGCCUGCAUUGUAAUCUGCAGAGGAACGUUUGGCUGCGGUAAGGGUCCAAGUCUUCUGGAAUGAAGCGCCUUAGAGGGUGAGAGCCCCGUAUUCGGCGUCAUGACUUACCGAGCUCCUUUCAAAGAGUCGGGUUGUUUUGAACUACAGCCCUAAGCUGGGAGAUAGACUUCUUCUAAGGCUAAAUAUAUAUGGGAGACCGAUAGCGCACAAGUA
rnacentral:rRNA from 1 species